rnacentral:misc_RNA from 1 species
GGAGGCCUGAGGAAAUGGAAAUGA